AGUGAUGAGUAUGGCAAAGAGGUCAACCCGUUCCAUACCGAACACGGAAGUUAAGCUCUUUAGCGCCGAUGGUAGUUGGGGGCUUCCCCCUGUGAGAGUAGGACGUCGCUA
rnacentral:rRNA from 13 species